rnacentral:rRNA from 1 species
UACAGAGGUCCCAAGCGUUGUUCGGAUUCAUUGGGCGUAAAGGGUGCGUAGGUGGCGCUGUAAGUCGGGUGUGAAAUUUCGGAGCUUAACUCCGAAACUGCAUUCGAUACUGCGGUGCUCGAGGACUGGAGAGGAGACUGGAAUUCAUGGUGUAGCAGUGAAAUGCGUAGAGAUCAUGAGGAAGACCAGUGGCGAAGGCGGGUCUCGUGGACAGUUCCUGACACUGAGGCACGAAGGCCAGGGGAGCAAACGGG